rnacentral:rRNA from 1 species
GACGAACGCUGGCGGCGUGCUUAACACAUGCAAGUCGAACGAAGUGGCGAACGGGUGAGUAACGCGUAAUCAACCUGCCCUUCAGAGGGGGACAACAGGUGGAAACGACUGCUAAUACCGCAUACUGAGGGAGGGGCUUGCGUCGGAUACGAAAGUUGGAGGGGUAACGGCCCACCAAGGCGAUGAUCAGUAGCCGGGCUGGGAGGAUGGACGGCCACAUUGGGACUGAGACACGGCCCAGACGCCGACGGGAGGCCGCAGUGGGGAAUCUGCCGCAAUGGACGAAAGUCUGACGAAGCAAAGCCGCGUGAGUGAUGACGGCCUUCGGGUUGUAAAGCUCUGUUAAUCGGGACGCGGUACCGGAAUAGAAAGCCACGGCUAACUACGUGCCAGCAGCCGCGGUAAUUC